rnacentral:rRNA from 1 species
AACGAACGCUGGCGGCAUGCCUAACACAUGCAAGUCGAACGAGAUCUUCGGGUCUAGUGGCGCACGGGUGCGUAACGCGUGGGAAUCUGCCCUUUGGUUCGGAAUAACAGUUGGAAACGACUGCUAAUACCGGAUGAUGACGAAAGUCCAAAGAUUUAUCGCCAGAGGAUGAGCCCGCGUAGGAUUAGCUAGUUGGUGUGGUAAAGGCGCACCAAGGCGACGAUCCUUAGCUGGUCUGAGAGGAUGAUCAGCCACACUGGGACUGAGACACGGCCCAGACUCCUACGGGAGGCAGCAGUGGGGAAUAUUGGACAAUGGGCGAAAGCCUGAUCCAGCAAUGCCGCGUGAGUGAUGAAGGCCUUAGGGUUGUAAAGCUCUUUUACCCGGGAUGAUAAUGACAGUACCGGGAGAAUAAGCACCGGCUAACUACGUGCCAGCCGCCGCGGUAACAC